UUUUAUUUACGAGAUACAAUUUUCAAAUGUAUUUUCAAAUGAAUACAAUUUUCAAAUGUAUUUUCCGGUUACAUUUUCCAGCCUGAUUAUAGCAUCUGUGUUUAUUUGUUUGUUUGUUUUAUCAUGCUUUUUUAUUACUCCAUAAGAUAGGCCAUAAAAAUGAGAAUCUAAUGUCCUUUAGAUCCACAGUCCUGAACACUAAAGUUACUGGUAAGAGAAUAGCAUUAUAAGCUUCUUUUUCAAGAGAAGAUAUGACUAUCCUUAAAGAUUUAACAAUUUUCCCAAUGUUAUUUUUAAAAUCUGGAAGAGCUACUUGAUCUUUCUUGAUCUCCUCAGAUCGCUAUCAGCAAACAAAUACUGGUAGAUUACAUAUAAGCAGAUAACUUAAUACAGUUUACAUUUUUCAUUUCUGUUAGUUUUGCCUACCUGGUAAAUCUCAAGGAUUUUUUUUUCUUUUAAGUUCAACUACAAGUGGCAGGAACUAGGUUUUUAUUAGAUAUGACACCUUCAUUAAAUGUUUAUCAAAUCAGAAAGUGUGUAAAUAUUCUCAGAAUGAUCUAGACAACAGUUACUGUUAUUGUUAGCUCGAUGUCUCUGCUAUGAGCAGCUUCUACAAUAGCUCUGUUAUUGCAAGUACCUCCAGACAAGACAAAUACAUACAAAUAUAAUUAUGACUGCAGUGAAUAAAAGACUACAAAAGGGGAUCAAUUGCCACAUAUUUUUAGAAGACUUCUAAAAAGAAAAGAUAAGAGAAAUUAAAUGCUACAGAAGCAUACAGAACUCCAAGAAGUUACUGUCCAACCAUCCCAGUAUUAAAAGCAUGGAAGAACAGGAACAUUUCAGCAGACCUCCUCCGGAAAGACGCAGGCAAAACAAAACAAGGGCGAGAGGGAGAGAUCACUGUUGAAUAUGGUCCUUCUGCUUUCUUAGACAUCUGGACUCGCAGAGAAAGGAGCCAUCUGAACAAGUUGUCUUGGCCUGUCAUGACAAUGACAUACACGGAGGCUGUUAGAAAAGAAAGCAGAUUCAAAGAAAAAAAGAUUAAAAUGACACAAUGAUUUUCCAUUGGAAAAUGCAGCUUCAUCCCAUUCAGAAUAACCUGUAGGAAUGUGGUAGCUUGGAUAAUAUUUCUCCUGGGGGAAAAAGAAAAAAAAUCUGAUCAUUUGAUUUUCCUGUAAUGAUAAUAUUAAAACAUAUUUUGUUAUACAUUCCUUGCUUACAUUUAGGCCAUUCUGAUUUUCAGAAAAUGUAUACAUCAUUUUUAUCAUAUUACAUACAUUUAAUAAUAUUUCAAUUAUGUCAUAUUUAGGAUGUUUUUCUUUUAUCAACAUGCAGGUUUCUAAGAGGUCCAAAUUUUGGAGGAUUGAAGGAAGUGUUCUUUUCAUUGAUAAUUAUAGAAAUCAAGCUUUUGUGCUAAUUUGGAAAGAAAACAAACCCUAAAUGCUGGACUUCCCCUCUGAAUAUGAAAUUUUAUUGAAAAGUGAAAAUAAGGUUUCCAGCCAGCUGUAUAACCCUUAAUAUUUUCCCUUGCUACUACAAGUAAAGCAA
ensembl:lncRNA